GACAGAGGGUGCAAACGUUGUUCGGAAUUACUGGGCGUAAAGCGCGUGUAGGCGGCUUUGUAAGUCGGAUGUGAAAUCCCGCGGCUCAACCGUGGAAGUGCACCCGAAACUGCAAGGCUAGAGUAUCGGAGAGGAAGGUGGAAUGCUUGGUGUAGAGGUGAAAUUCGUAGAUAUCAAGCGGAACACCGGUGGCGAAGGCGGCCUUCUGGACGAUUACUGACGCUGAGACGCGAAAGCGUGGGUAGCAAAC
rnacentral:rRNA from 1 species